rnacentral:rRNA from 1 species
UACGGAGGGUGCAAGCGUUGUCCGGAAUUAUUGGGCGUAAAGAGCGUGUAGGCGGCCAUGCAGGUCAGCUGUGAAAACUCGAUGGCUCAACCUCGAGAUGUCGGUUGAAACCGUGUGGCUAGAGUCCGGAAGAGGAGAGUGGAAUUCCCGGUGUAGCGGUGAAAUGCGCAGAUAUCGGGAAGAACACCCGUGGCGAAGGCGGCUCUCUGGGACGGUACUGACGCUGAGACGCGAAAGCUAGGGGAGCAAACAGG